rnacentral:lncRNA from 1 species
UGCAUCCCCAGCUUCACCAAAAAAAUAUUCAAGGUUAUAAAUAAGAUAGAUCGAUAUAUAAGGAAGGUUUGAACAAUCCUGAGGCUUACCUUUGUCAGAAACGGCGAAAACUCGCCGGAAAAACACUUGAACAAUGAUGGUGCUACUAUGCAGUAUAGGGUUUCAUGUCUGGGUUUGAGAUCAUGGGCUUACUCUUACUUCUAGGUUCAAGAUAAAAUGACGAAGUUAUGGUCUGGGUGGUUCGUAGUGGAUCAUGGUGAAAUGGUGGUGUGUUUGCCAUGAUUAUGUGCAAUGUGC